rnacentral:piRNA from 1 species
UAAUAAAAUGACGAAUGCCAGAGGUGACA